GCGAGUAUUCAAGAAGAUUCUGCGGCCAAACGUUUCCUAGCCGAAACCCUAGCUAGCUCUUUCUUAAUCCAUAAUCUCUCUUCUCUUCUUCUCUUUCUAUCUGCAAAACAAAAAUGUCUCACUUCGGACGUUCGGGUCCCCCAGACAUUUCCGACACUUACUCUCUUCUCGUUCUCAACAUCACCUUCCGUACCACCGCCGACGACCUAUUCCCUCUCUUCGACAAGUACGGGAAGGUCGUCGACAUCUUCAUCCCCAAGGAUCGAAGAACUGGUGAGUCAAGGGGUUUUGCAUUCGUGCGUUACAAGUAUGCUGAUGAGGCUCAGAAGGCCGUUGAGAGGCUCGACGGGAGAAUGGUUGAUGGUCGUGAAAUAACCGUCCAGUUUGCGAAAUAUGGGCCUAAUGCUGAGAGGAUUCACAAAGGAAGGAUUAUUGAAACAUCCCCGAGAUCAAGGCGAUCAAGGAGCCGUAGCCCAAGGAAAAGGCAUCGUGAUGAUUACAAAGAUCGAGAUUAUAGGAGGCGAAGUCGCAGCAGAAGUUAUGAUAGGUAUGAACGUGACAGGCACCGUGGGAGAGACAAAGAUUAUCGUCGCAGAAGCAGGAGCCGUAGUGCCAGUCUUGAUUACAAGGGUCGUGGUAGGGGACGCUAUGAUGAUGAGCGUAAUAGUAGAAGCCGGAGCAGAUCAGUUGAUAGCGGCUCCCCUGCACGGCGCAGUCCUAGUCCUCGAAGGAGUCCUUCCCCUCAGAGGAGCACUUCCCCUCAAAGGAGUCCUUCCCCUAGGAAGAGUCCACGGGGUGAAAGUCCUGCAAAUCGUAGCCGCGAUGGGCGUUCUCCUACCCCUCGCAGUGUCUCACCACGCGGUCGCCCUGAUGCUUCUCGAAGCCCUUCCCCUCGAAAUUCAAAUGGGGAUGAAUAAGCUAUGUUCUUCAUGAAAAAUUCUGGAGACGCCGGACUAUUGCACCUGUAGCUGUUUUGCUAUUGUUGGAUCUUUUAGUCUAUGUGAAUGAUCUUAUCGGAGUCAUUGAAGGAUUUUAUGAUCUAAGUGCUGUUUGUUAUGAUCGGGAAAAGUGAUGAGAGCAUGAUAGGCGCAUGUUGACUUUGUUGCUGUUGAUGCUGUUUCUAUGUCAUUGAUGAUUGGUCGCGAAUUUGAUGCUGGUUGCAAGAGUAUGCUGGUUUUAGGACUGUGAUUGUUUUACCAGUGUGCUGAUUAGACAGACAAUUAGUUGACUUGGUUUUUUCCUGAAUGAUCUGAUCAUUGUUUCCUGAAAAGGAUUCUUGAUGCUGUGAUGAACACGAGUUGAGCAUAUUUUGUCAUGUAGCUGAUGCCUCGUAGGAGUUGGACCUGUCAUUUGUAGAGUUGGACCUGUGGGUACUAAAUAUGAACUUUAAUGUGCUGGUGUUUAUUUCUAGUCACAGUGGUAACACCUUCAUGGUUUAUUUUUAGGGUAUUUUAAUCAAUAAUUUUUAACAUUGAUCUUUCAAGAUUAUAACAUCUGCUACUUAAUGUAGUGAGAUACAAUUGUUGUAGCACACUGCUCCAUGACACUGUAGCUGUGAGGUGGUAGCUGAUGCAUCUUUAAUAAGAAAUGCAUGUGUUCGUGAAUAAUUUGAAGCACUAACCAAUUACUGUAGCUGACUGUUGCUGCCCUUUUUGCUGGGAUCGGGUUGGCAAUGGUAUUAGCGGUUGGUACUGAUGAUGGCUGUCUAGCUGUGCUGCUGGUUUCUGUUGAUUCCAAAGCCGUGUGACAGAAUUGUUUUUCAUUAGUGAUUUGGUUUUGUAGUCUCAAUUUCAGUUAUUCAUUAAUUCUUAUGACACAGAGUUAUCACACUUGUCUUUUUUUGCUUUGAUAUUGUGAUAGCUAUUGCAACAUUGUGUUGUGUUUACUGUUUUGCAACUGAAAUGAUAACCAAUGUGUUUUAGAGACGAGGUUCUUUUAAAUUUACAA